rnacentral:rRNA from 1 species
AUUGAACGCUGGCGGCAGGCCUAACACAUGCAAGUCGAACGAGUGGCGGACGUGUGAGUAAUGUCUGUGCCACUGCCUGAUGGAGGGGGUUAACUACUGGAAACGGUUGCUAAUACCGCCUACCUUCGGCUGUGCCCAGAUGGGAUUAGCUAGUGGGUGGGGUAACGGCUCACCUAGACGACGACCCCUAGCUGGUCUGAGAGGAUGACCAGCAAAACUGGAACUGAGACACGGUCCAGACGCCUACGGGAGGCAGCAGUGGGGAAUAUUGGACAAUGGGCGAAAGCCUGAUGCAGCCAUGCCGCGUGUAUGAAGAAGGUCUUCGGGUUGUAAAGUACUUUCAGUGGGGAGGCGUUACCCGCAGAAGAAGCACCGGCUAACUCCGUGCCAGCAGCCGCGGUAAUAC